UUGGGCUGGAUCAAGUAUUUAGAGCAAGCAAGGUACGGAGUGGAAUAAGUGCUCUUAACAAGCAACUAAUGUGUGAGGGGCCAACAAGAAGAACAAGAUCAUGACGCAUACACUUAGCAAGGGUAGCAACUGGUUUGAAGAGUCAAAGACUAGAGCAAAAAAUUGUGAUAGUGUAUAGAAGAGAAUCAUGUUGAUAACAUGUUGAGAUUGUUUAGAAAGACACAAGAGUAAUAGUAAGUCAUAUACACACGCAAGAGUAGUAGCAAGUCAU
rnacentral:lncRNA from 1 species